rnacentral:lncRNA from 1 species
GGUUAAUGGGACUACACGCACACAUAAUUAUAUCUUACAUUUAUACAGUGAUUUUAACUUCUUCAAUGCACUUUUCACUAUAUUGUGUAUAAAAAACAUGAAUUUUUUGAAAUCCACAAAUAAAGUUAAAAAGAAAUCUUAGAAAUCAAUAAUUUCAACUUUGUACCUUUCUAAAGUUAUUAGAAAUAGUAAAACUGUCUAAUAGUACUUUCAUCUCCCUACUCUUUUCUUGACCCCACUCAACUAAAGGCAGAAAUGACUGAAAGAUCUGGAGAAAUCUCCAGAGACAAAGCCAAGGAGGGAAGGAAGCCAAGGACCUGGGCCAUCCACAAAUUAGAUCAUUAGCUCCAGGAUAACUGAGAAUAACUGACUGUGUGACUAUGGCCAGAAAGUCCAGAAAGAGAUGAAAAGGCAAAGGAAAUGACAUGUGAGUAACAGUAUUUACAGGGCCUGUCACUGUCAUUCUCUCAACAAACAUCACUGAGCACCUACUGUAUGCCAGGUACUUUCAACAAAGAGGAUGGCUACAGCAAUGAAAACCCAGGCAAGACUGCUACUCUCAUGUAGAUGACCUUCCUGAACGGUGCAGACAAACAACAAACAAGAACACAAACACAUAAACAAGAUAACUUCAGGUAGCACUAAGCUCUGUGAAGUCCAUAAACACAGGAAUGUGAUAGAGCCUUGGGGAGGAGGAUGCUGUUGUAGACAAGGUCGCCCAGAAAGGCAUCUCAGAGUAUCUGAGCUGCAACCUGCAAGAGGAGCCCACCCUGUGGAGGUCUGCUAACCAGAUAAUGGAAUGAGUGAACUCACCAAGUAUGCUAGAGGGAGGGGGCUCCAGGCCAGCCACAGGGGGGUGCAGGCCAGGCACAGUUCUGUGGUUAUUCACUUUGUGUUCUUUGGAGAUAUUGCUAAAACCUCUCUAGGACCCCUGAAUUAUUGCCUCUACAAUGGGGGUUGCUCAUACUGAUCACUGUGACAGGUACUCUGAGGAAUAAUGGGUUGUCAUGAGGAGCUACAUAAAUGCUGACUAAUGAUCAUAAUAAGAACCUCUCAUUAAAGUCAGCACCGUGAUAGGCAGAUCACACUUAGAUGCCUCAGCAAGUGUGGAAAUUAACAUGACUGCUCCCUGUGCACACCAGCACCAUCCUUUAAAAUAGAAAAAAUAAAUGAGCCGAUGGUCCUGAUAUUCAAAGUGGUUCGUGAUCAACUAACUGGAGAGAAAGCUGGUGUGUGAAGUGUAAAAUGGGAGCAGGAAGAUAAUGGCACAUCACAGCCCAGCACAGGCAGAGGGUAACUAGUGAAUCAACUGGAUGCUUGCUGAUGCACGUGUCCUCUGCUACAGAGAAGAGGUGCUGUCAAGAAAAGCCUGGCAGAGGGGAAGUGGGGUGAGAAGGAGCCGGAUCAGCAGCAUCUCUGGCAGCAGCCCCCUCUGGCCCGCUUGGCCUUGGUCCUGACCCAUGACUGGACUGUGACAAGCACUUAAUAAACAAUGAAAUAAAAUGGAAUAAAUAAUAUUAGAG